rnacentral:rRNA from 1 species
GACGAACGCUGGCGGCGUGCCUAACACAUGUAAGUCGAACGGGACUGGGGGCAACUCCAGUUCAGUGGCAGACGGGUGCGUAACACGUGAGAAACCUGUCCAUCGGGGGGGGAUAGCCGGCCCAACGGCCGGUUAAUACCGCGUACGAUCGUUUAGGGGCAUCCCUGAAUGAUGAAAGCAACGCAAGUUGCGCCGGCGGAGGGUCUCGCGGCCUAUCAGCUAGUUGGCGGGGUAACGGCCCACCAAGGCGACGACGGGUAGCUGGUCUGAGAGGAUGGCCAGCCACAUUGGGACUGAGACACGGCCCAGACUCCUACGGGAGGCAGCAGUGGGGAAUCUUGCGCAAUGGCCGCAAGGCUGACGCAGCGACGCCGCGUGUGGGAUGACGGCCUUCGGGUUGUAAACCACUGUCGGGAGGAACGAAUACUCGGCUUGUCCGAGGGUGACGGUACCUCCAAAGGAAGCACCGGCUAACUCCGU